GACGAACGCUGGCGGCGUGCUUAACACAUGCAAGUCGAACGGAAAGGCCCUGCUUUUGUGGGGUGCUCGAGUGGCGAACGGGUGAGUAACACGUGAGUAACCUGCCCUUGACUUUGGGAUAACUUCAGGAAACUGGGGCUAAUACCGGAUAGGAGCUCCUGCUGCAUGGUGGGGGCUGGAAAGUUUCGGCGGUUGGGGAUGGACUCGCGGCUUAUCAGCUUGUUGGUGGGGUAGUGGCUUACCAAGGCUUUGACGGGUAGCCGGCCUGAGAGGGUGACCGGCCACAUUGGGACUGCGGUACGGCCCAGACUCCUACGGGAGGCAGCAGUGGGGAAUAUUGCACAAUGGGCGGAAGCCUGAUGCAGCAGCGCCGCGUGCGGGAUGACGGCCUUCGGGUUGUAAACCGCUUUCGCCUGUGACGAAGCGUGAGUGACGGUAAUGGGUAAAGAAGCACCGGCUAACUACGUG
rnacentral:rRNA from 1 species